CAGGUGCUGCAUGGCUGUCGUCAGCUCGUGUUGUGAAAUGUUGGGUUAAGUCCCGCAACGAGCGCAACCCUUAUCCUUUGUUGCCAGCGGUCCGGCCGGGAACUCAAAGGAGACUGCCAGUGAUAAACUGGAGGAAGGUGGGGAUGACGUCAAGUCAUCAUGGCCCUUACGACCAGGGCUACACACGUGCUACAAUGGCGCAUACAAAGAGAAGCGACCUCGCGAGAGCAAGCGGACCUCAUAAAGUGCGUCGUAGUCCGGAUUGGAGUCUGCAACUCGACUCCAUGAAGUCGGAAUCGCUAGUAAUCGUGGAUCAGAAUGCCACGGUGAAUACGUUCCCGGGCCUUGUACACACCGCCCGUCACACCAUGGGAGUGGGUUGCAAAAGAAGUAGGUAGCUUAACCUUCGGGAGGGCGCUUACCACUUUGUGAUUCAUGACUGGGGUGAAGUCGUAACAAGGUAACCGUAGGGGAACCUGCGGCUGGAUCACCUC
rnacentral:rRNA from 1 species